UAAAAAUCAAAGAGCCUAUGUAGCGGCAACAACAGGUGACUCUGCAGCAGCAGCAACCGGAGCUUCUGCAGCAACAAGGCAGUUCGUCUGCAGGAGUAAACUGAGGUAACAGGACAGUUCGUCUACAGGAGUGAACUGAGGAGAAGGCACAAGUCCAGACAAAACAACAGCAACAGACUUGCAGGGAGGUGCGUGCAGACAGACAGGCUAGCCGUUUGGAAUUCUGGUAAGUACCAAUAAGGGAAUAACUGAAAAUGAAGGUGGUGAAGUACUCCGUAGUUGGAUUCUCACGAGUCAAGAAGGCCUUUGUAUGGGGAACCUUAAGUAAUCUAGCUGACUAUUUAGUUUCCACAUUCAUUGAUUGUAGAUAUAAUGUCACUUACUAGCAGUUUCUGCACACUAGAGUGGAAGCAGUUUCCUAGCCUUGGUCUUUAGCUUGAGAUCGAGGAAAUACUAGCACUCUGCUUUCCCCUGGGUGCUUAUUGUAGAUAUAAUGUCACUUACUAGCAGGGUUUUUUUUAUAAGUAUAGUGUAACUAAAUGUUUUCGGGAAUGUAAGAGACGGUGACAAACCUGUAAGAAAUGACAGACAAGCUAAUGUAGAUGUGAAGUCAUACAGUUAUUCAA